rnacentral:rRNA from 1 species
AUUGCUCCUUUGACGUUAGCGGCGGACGGGUGAGUAACACGUGGAUAACCUACCUAUAAGACUGGGAUAACUUCGGGAAACCGGAGCUAAUACCGGAUAAGAUUUUGAACCGCAUGGUUCAAUAGUGAAAGACGGCCUUGCUGUCACUUAUAGAUGGAUCCGCGCCGUAUUAGCUAGUUGGUAAGGUAACGGCUUACCAAGGCAACGAUACGUAGCCGACCUGAGAGGGUGAUCGGCCACACUGGAACUGAGACACGGUCCAGACUCCUACGGGAGGCAGCAGUAGGGAAUCUUCCGCAAUGGGCGAAAGCCUGACGGAGCAACGCCGCGUGAGUGAUGAAGGUCUUCGGAUCGUAAAACUCUGUUAUCAGGGAAGAACAAACGUGUAAGUAACUGUGCACGUCUUGACGGUACCUGAUCAGAAAGCCACGGCUAACUACGUGCCAGCAGCCGCGGUAAUACGUAGGUGGCAAGCGUUAUCCGGAAUUAUUGGGCGUAAAGCGCGCGUAGGCGGUUUUUUAAGUCUGAUGUGAAAGCCCACGGCUCAACCGUGGAGGGUCAUUGGAAACUGGAAAACUUGAGUGCAGAAGAGGAAAGUGGAAUUCCAUGUGUAGCGGUGAAAUGCGCAGAGAUAUGGAGGAACACCAGUGGCGAAGGCGACUUUCUGGUCUGUAACUGACGCUGAUGCGCGAAAGCGUGGGGAUCAAACAGGAUUAGAUACCCUGGUAGUCCACGCCGUAAACGAUGAGUGC